rnacentral:lncRNA from 1 species
AUUUCUCUUAAGGGUACAAUGUAGUCUAAUUUUCUUCAUUAUUCAAUUUGGAUCCUGUUAAGGGAGACAGACAUUCACUGACAAGAAUAACAUUUCAAUUUUGGCAAAUAAGUUCAUUAGUAUUCACAAAGCUUUGCACCCCUCAUAUUUAAUAAACCUUUCCAUUACAGAGAAAGAAAU